UACGUAGGGUGCAAGCGUUGUCCGGAAUUAUUGGGCGUAAAGAGCUCGUAGGCGGUUUGGCAAGUCGGGUGUGAAAUCUCCGGGCUCAACUCGGAGAGGCCACUCGAGACUGCUAUGACUAGAGUCCGGUAGGGGACCAUGGAAUUCCUGGUGUAGCGGUGAAAUGCGCAGAUAUCAGGAGGAACACCGGUGGCGAAGGCAGGUCUCUGGGCCAUAACUGACGCUGAGAAGCGAAAGCAUGGGGAGCGAACAGG
rnacentral:rRNA from 1 species